UACGAAGGGGGCUAGCGUUGCUCGGAAUCACUGGGCGUAAAGCGCACGUAGGCGGGUCUUUAAGUCAGGGGUGAAAUCCUGGAGCUCAACUCCAGAACUGCCUUUGAUACUGAGGAUCUCGAGUCCGGGAGAGGUGAGUGGAACUCCGAGUGUAGAGGUGAAAUGCGUAGAUAUUGGGAGGAACACCAGUGGCGAAGGCGGCUCACUGGACCGGAACUGACGCUGAGGCGCGAAAGCGUGGGGAGCAAACGGG
rnacentral:rRNA from 1 species